rnacentral:rRNA from 1 species
GACGGGACCCCGCACAAGCGGUGGAUCAUGUUGUUUAAUUCGAUGAUACGCGAAGAACCUUACCAGGUCUUGACAUCCCCCGCGAUGCUUUAGAGAUAAAGCGGAGGUAUUCGGGAGACAGGUGGUGCAUGGUUGUCGUCAGCUCGUGUCGUGAGAUGUUGGGUUAAGUCCCGCAACGAGCGCAACCCCUAUUGCUAGUUACCAUCAUUAAGUUGGGGACUCUAGCGAGACUGCCAGUGAUAAACUGGAGGAAGGUGGGGAUGACGUCAAAUCAUCAUGCCCCUUAUGACCUGGGCUACAAACGUGAUACAAUGGCUGGAACAAAGGGAUGCGAAGCAGUGAUGUGGAGCGAAACCCAUAAAAACAGUCUCAGUUCGGAUUGAAGUCUGCAACUCGACUUCAUGAAGUCGGAAUCGCUAGUAAUCGCGCAUCAGCAUGGCGCGGUGAAUACGUUCCCGGGCCUU